rnacentral:rRNA from 1 species
CACGUAGGGUCCAAGCGUUGUCCGGAUUUAUUGGGCGUAAAGAGCUCGUAGGCGGCUUGGUAAGUCGAGUGUGAAAACUCUGGGCUCAACUCAGAGACGCCACUCGAUACUGCCAUGGCUUGAGUCCGGUAGGGGAGUGUGGAAUUCCACGUGUAGCAGUGAAAUGCGUAGAGAUGUGGAGGAACACCGAUGGCGAAGGCAGCCCCCUGGGCUAACACUGACGCUCAGGCACGAAAGCGUGGGGAGCAAACAGG